rnacentral:rRNA from 1 species
UACGAAGGGGGCUAGCGUUGCUCGGAAUCACUGGGCGUAAAGCGCACGUAGGCGGAUUCCUAAGUCGGUGGUGAAAGCCUGGAGCUCAACUCCAGAACUGCCUUUGAAACUGCAUCGCUUGAAUCAUGGAGAGGUUAGUGGAAUUCCGAGUGUAGAGGUGAAAUUCGUAGAUAUUCGGAAGAACACCAGUGGCGAAGGCGACUAACUGGACAUGUAUUGACGCUGAGGUGCGAAAGCGUGGGGAGCAAACAGG